CCUCCCCUGGCUCACUAAUCAGGUGGGCUUAUGUAAGGCACCUGGAUGCCUGCUACAUGGCUUGUGCUUUUGCUCCUGUCUGGCAUUUGUUUGGUGUUGCUGCUUCUGCCACUUAGUUGGGGUGGCUAGGUCCCCACAGUGCACAUGCGAGUUAAGAGCACUGGGUCACAAAUGGACUACACUAAAGUUUGGAUUGCUGUGAGAUUUGUUGUGCUUCACAAGGGUAUCCCCUCCAUACGACCUGAGAUAUCAUGCUUUCAAGAAAUGGACUGAUGGAUUGAUUGACAACCUGAAAACAUGACACCUCCAGCACAGAAGCAGUAACACAAUCGGGGUUAAGACCUAAAAUAUCUCAUGUUUGGUAAUUGUAGUGUAACAAACCAACUCUACUUUAAUGUACAACAUGUAGACUUUUUACAUUAUGUUUUAAUUAAUUAAAAUUUUAAUUGGCCUAUGUUUUAUUUUGUUGAGUACUCGCUACCUCAAAUAUUUCCAACAGUUAUCAAAGCCAGAGAAAUCUGUAAUUUCAUGGUUGUAACAGGACGUGUCUUGUCGUAGCGGCCCCCAUUACAGACAUACUUAUUGUUGCUUCGAAAACCACGCAUGUCACUUCAAAGACUGCUGCAUAAGUGGGAAUUGCUGCCGUAUUGUUGCUGUAUGUGCUGCUUUGAUUAAAAAAUUACAUGUAAAUUA